GUGUUUGGGCCGAAUUGGGCAUA
rnacentral:siRNA from 1 species